UACAGAGGUCCCAAGCGUUGUUCGGAUUCAUUGGGCGUAAAGGGUGCGUAGGUGGCGUCGUAAGUCGGGUGUGAAAUCUCGGGGCUUAACUCCGAAACUGCAUUCGAUACUGCGGUGCUUGAGGACUGGAGAGGAGACUGGAAUUUACGGUGUAGUGGUGAAAUGCGUAGAUAUCGGGAGGAACACCAGUGGCGAAGGCGACUACCUGGCCUGUUUCUUGACGCUGAGGCGCGAAAGCUAGGGUAGCAAACGGG
rnacentral:rRNA from 1 species